CUCACUCUAACACUCACACACACUAACACUCACACACACUAACACUCACACUAACACUCACUAGCAGACACAAACACUACCACUCACACACACUCUAACACUCACACUCACACUAACACUCUAACACUCACUCUAACACUCACUCUAACACUCUAACACUCACUCUAACACUCACUCUAACACUCACACACACUCUAACACUCACUCUAACACUCACUCUAACACUCACACACACUCUAACACUCACACUUUAACACUCACUCUAACACUCACUCUAACACUCACACACACUCUAACACUCACACUCUAACACUCACACUCUAACACUCACUCUAACACUCACUCU